AUACGUAGGGGGCGAGCGUUGUCCGGAAUGAUUGGGCGUAAAGGGCGCGUAGGCGGCCCGGUAAGUCUGGAGUGAAAGUCCUGCAUUCAAUGUGGGAAUUGCUUUGGAGACUGGUUGGCUUGAGUGCGGAAGAGGUAAGUGGAAUUCCCAGUGUAGCGGUGAAAUGCGCAGAGAUUGGGAGGAACACCAGUGGCGAAGGCGACUUACUGGGCCGUAACUGACGCUGAGGCGCGAAAGCGUGGGGAGCGAACAGGAUUAGAUACCCUGGUAGUCCACGCGGUAAACGAUGAAUGCUAGGUGUUGCGGGUAUCGACCCCUGCAGUGCCGGAGUAAACACAAUAAGCAUUCCGCCUGGGGAGUACGGCCGCAAGGUUGAAACUCAAAGGAAUUGGCGGGG
rnacentral:rRNA from 1 species